UCCGGUUGAUCCUGCCGGACCCGACUGCUAUCAGAGUGGGACUAAGCCAUGCGAGUCAACGCCGCAAGGCGUGGCACACGGCUCAGUAACACGUAGUCAACAUGCCCAGGGGACGUGGAUAACCUCGGGAAACUGAGGAUAAACCGCGAUAGGCCAACGUUUCUGGAAUGGACACUGGCUGAAACCUAUACGGCCCCUGGAUUGGACUGCGGCCGAUCAGGCUGUUGGUGAGGUAAUGGCCCACCAAACCUGUUACCGGUACGGGCUUUGAGAGAAGGAGCCCGGAGAUGGGCACUGAGACAAGGGCCCAGGCCCUAUGGGGCGCAGCAGGCGCGAAACCUCUGCAAUAGGCGAAAGCUUGACAGGGUUACUCUGAGUGAUGCCCGCUAAGGGCAUCUUUUGGCACCUCUAAAAAUGGUGCGGAAUAAGGGGUGGGCAAGUCUGGUGUCAGCCGCCGCGGUAAUACCAGCACCCCGAGUGGUCGGGACGAUUAUUG
rnacentral:rRNA from 1 species